rnacentral:lncRNA from 1 species
CUUUCUUUUCUACACAAGAAAGCAGACCCAGAGAGGGCCAGAGCCUUGCCCAAGGUCACACAGGUGUGAGGUCAGGGCAGCGAGGACGGGAACGCUGCUUCCUGCACCUUCACGGCUCUGGGACAGCUGAUGUCUGACACUGGGGGUGCCAACAGUGUUCGAGGGAGUCCAGUGUCUGAUUGCACAAUUGUUGACCUCAUUGCUCCCUUUCGAUGGACAUCUGCGUUGUUGGUCCAUGAUCAAUCAGGCCGUGGUGAGCCAUCCCUAUGACCCACCUCUUCACACCUGUGAAACAGGUCUUCAGCCCCUUCACGGUGUGACCUGCAGCCAAACCCAAUGGUCCCCCAAAGAAAGCGCCCUACAUGUGACGGAUGCAUGGCCAAGUUAGAGCGAAGCUCUGGAGACAAACUGUCUGACCUGGAUCACUUUCUGGCUCUGCCACUUACUGCCUCUAUGACCUCAGGCCCACUGUGCGCCUGGAACCGUGCAGAGCGAAGUGGGAGACACGGCCUCAGCCCCCUGGGAGCCUCUGAUCUCUGGAUGGAUCCCACGAUGAUCAAGCACAGAGCACAAUUUCAACAGCCCCACACAGGGGGGGCGACUUCGCCAAGCUCAGGGUGUUUUGCUAGAAGUGGUUCUCCAGUCCAGAAUCUCUCUUUGCUCUUUGCAUCAGCUUGGCCUUCAGGGAGAAAGGUAACGUGCCUUCUAAAGAAAUCAAUACGAGAAGACUCAGCCCGGGGUAAAAUACCGGCUUGAACCUCGAGUGGGCCCAGGCCGUGCAAUGGCCCUAAAUGAGAUUGUCUGGUUGUGUUAAUAAAGCUUUCCUGUG